ensembl:lncRNA
UUUAGGACCAGGACGCGGCAGCUCUGGUGCAGGUGAGUAUUUAUUAACGAAGGGAAAAACAAACAACAAAGGCACUGGGAACAUGAAACUGGAACCUAAACUGGGUAAAACUAACAAAGGCAAAACAAAACAGGAGCACUAGAAGGCCAAAAGACAAAAAUAAAAACAAAACACGAGUCCAAACCAAAAGAAAAGAAGCACACCAGAGCACAGGAAAACAGAGUCCAAAACAGAAAAGGUCAGGGGGCCGGCCAGCACAGGAGUCCAAACAGUUCAGGGGGCCGACCGUGCAGAAGGCAACGGCGACGACGACAGCACUGGUCCGGGGGCCGGCCGUGCGGAAGGCAACGGCGACAGCACUGGUCCGGGAGCCGGCCGUGUGGAAGGCAACGGCGGCCACUCAGGCGAAGAGGGUCUGGGAGCUGGCCGUGCGGACGGCAACGGCGGCCACUCAGGCGAGGAGGGUCUGGGGGCCGGCCGUGCGGAAGGCAAUGGCGGCCACUCAGGCGAUGGCGGUCCGGGGGCCGGCCGUGCGGAAGGCCACGGUGGCCACUCAGGCGAAGAGGGUCUGGGGACCGCCCACGACGGCGAUGGCGCCUGGCCAGUUGCCUGGCCAGCGGCCUAGAAAGCGGCCGUUUAGCUGCAGACCCAAACGAGGCAGGGCCAGGCGACACUGAAGGCGGAGACACGGAGGCUGGACCAGGCGACGCUGAAAACACGGAGGCUGGACCAGGCGACGCUGAAGACACGGAGGCUGGGCCAGGCGAGGAUGACGAGGCUGCAGCUGGACCAGGCGAGGAUGACGAGGCUGCAGCUGGACCAGACGGCGCUGCAGGCGGCAGCGUGGAAGCCGGAGACGGAGGCGCUGCAGGCGGCGGCGUGGAAGCCGGAGCCGGCCGUGCGGAGGGCCACGGCGGCCACUCAGGCAAAGAGGGUCUGGGAACUGCCCACGACGGCGAUGGCGCCUGGCCAGUUGCCUGGCCAGCGGCCUAGAAAGCGGCCGUUUAGCUGCAGACCCAAACGAGGCAGGGCCAGGCGACACUGAAGGCGGAGACACGGAGGCUGGACCAGGCGACGCUGAAAACAUGGAGGCUGGACCAGGCGACGCUGAAGACACGGAGGCUGGGCCAGGCGAGGAUGACGAGCUGCAGGCGGCGGCGUGGAAGCCAGAGGCGCUGCAGACCCUCCAGUGGAGACAGGAGACAAAGGCCGGAGCGGUCCCUCGGACCCUCCAGCGGAGACAGGAGACGAAGGCCGGAGCGGUCCCUCGGACCCUCCUGUGGAGACAGGAGACGAAGUCAUCACUAAGCCAGCAGUCAUGGAGGCCACUAGCUGACACAAAGGCGACUGUCAAUGCACUGACCACGGGCUCUGCCCAGGCAAUGCUGACAUGGUGCAGUUCUCAGGUGGCUGCUUAGACUUCAGGGGUCCAGAAUCAGCUGGGGACUGAGACCUAGCCUCUGGGGAAGCCCUGGAGUGCAGAACGGUGCCUGAAGCAGCUAAAGCGCGAGAAAUUCCCUGACUGGAACUUAGACUUUCUCCCUGCGUAGAGUGAGUGUGUGAGACCGGUGACACUGGAGCCAGAGCUGCGGGUAGCGGGGGCACUGGAGCUGCGGGUAGCGGGGGCACUGGAGCUGCGGGUAGCGGGGGCACUGGAGCUACGGGGGCCUGAGCUACAGGUGACUCUGGAGCUACGGGGGUCCGAACUACAGGUGACACUGGAGGCGCAGGGGCCUGAACUACAGGUGACACUGGAGGCACUGAAAAGAGGGAGACACUGGUGGCCGAGCAGAGUGUGGCUGCGGGGCAGCUAGCUGAGAAGAGUGUGCGAUCGGCGUUUCCUCCCCGCAGACGGCUCCGACGGGCCGGGCAAGAUCACAUCCGGCGAGUUGGGCAGUGAGGCAGGAGUGGCUGAGAGAAGGUGCGGUGUGUGCUGGAGAAAAGCCUGCAUGGUCGGAGGAAGCGACUUCAGAAGCCAUGGCAGGCCAGAAAAGAGCCAUUGUAGCCGACUUUCCACGGUGCGGCGAAGCUCCUCUGGAGGGUUCUCUAGCCACAGCCCGAGGAGAAUCUCCACAUUAUAUGUA